AGCAGCCGCGGUAAUUCCAGCUCCAAUAGCGUAUAUUAAAGUUGUUGCAGUUAAAAAGCUCGUAGUUGAAUUUCGGGAUCAAUAUGUUGGUCGUGCCUCGGUACGUACUAGCAUAUUGGUUUCUCCUUUCUGAAGAACCAUGAUGUCAUUUAUUUGGUGUCGUGGGGAAUCAGGACUGUUACUUUGAAAAAAUUAGAGUGUUUAAAGCAGGCUCACGCUUGAAUACAUUAGCAUGGAAUAAUGAAAUAGGACGUUUGAUUCUAUUUUGUUGGUUUCUAGGAUCGACGUAAUGAUUAAUAGGGAUAGUUGGGGGCAUUAGUAUUCAAUUGUCAGAGGUGAAAUUCUUGGAUUUAUUGAAGACUAACUACUGCGAAAGCAUUUGCCAAGGAUGUUUUCAUUAAUCAAGAACGAAAGUUAGGGGAUCGAAGACGAUCAGAUACCGUCGUAGUCUUAACCAUAAACUAUGCCGACUAAGGAUCGGAUGAUGUU
rnacentral:misc_RNA from 1 species